AGGAUAAUGUGCUACACUCAUCA
rnacentral:siRNA from 1 species